AAUAAAAUUGCCAAGUGGUUCAUCAAGGCGUAGCAUUGGAACUGCUAUGUAGUUUGUAGGCUUUUGUUUACCGAGGGUUCAAAUCUCUCUCUUUCUG
rnacentral:tRNA from 1 species